rnacentral:rRNA from 1 species
AGAACGAACGCUGGCGGCAUGCCUAAUACAUGCAAGUCGAACGAACACUUCGGUGUUAGUGGCGCACGGGUGCGUAACGCGUGGGAAUCUGCCCUUGGGUUCGGAAUAACAGUUGGAAACGACUGCUAAUACCGGAUGAUAUCGAAAGAUCAAAGAUUUAUCGCCCAGGGAUGAGCCCGCGUAGGAUUAGCUAGUUGGUGAGGUAAAGGCUCACCAAGGCGACGAUCCUUAGCUGGUCUGAGAGGAUGAUCAGCCACACUGGGACUGAGACACGGCCCAGACUCCGUACGGGAGGCAGCAGUAGGGAAUAUUAGGACAAUGGGCGCAAGCCUGAUCCAGCAAUCGCCGCGUAGAGUGAGUAGAA